rnacentral:rRNA from 1 species
UACGAAGGGUGCAAACGUUGCUCGGAAUUAUUGGGCGUAAAGCGCACGUAGGCGGCGCUCUAAGUCGGAUGUGAAAGCCUUUGGCUCAACCAAAGAAGUGCAUUCGAAACUGGAGCGCUUGAGUACUUAAGAGGAUCGCGGAAUUCCCGGUGUAGAGGUGAAAUUCGUAGAUAUCGGGAGGAACACCAGUGGCGAAGGCGGCGAUCUGGGAAGAUACUGACGCUGAGGUGCGAAAGCGUGGGGAGCAAACAGG